rnacentral:RNase_P_RNA from 1 species
CCGCCGGAUAGCUGCGCCGAAGUUUUGCCUUCGGUGAGGAAAGUCCGGGCAUCCAGAGAACAAGACACCGGAUAACGUCCGGCUGGAGUAAUCCAAGGGAAAGUGCCACAGAGAUAUACCGCCGCUCUUUACGGGCGGUAAGGCUGAAAAGGCGAGGUAAGAGCUCACCGCAAAGCUGGUAACAGCUUUGGCAAGGUAAACCCUGUCUGAUGCAAGACCAAGUCAGGAGUGUUCAAGUAUGCUUCGGCAUAAACUGAAUAACAAGGGAUGUUCUCUUCCCUCUCCAGAGGUAGGUCGCGUUGAGCGGCGCAGUAAUGUUCCGCCUAGAUGAAUAGCUAUCGCUUUAGGCUUGCCUAAAGUACAGAACUCGGCUUAUAGGCUGCCUUAU